UACGUAGGUGGCAAGCGUUGUCCGGAUUUACUGGGCGUAAAGAGCGCGCAGGCGGUCGUUCAAGUCGCGUGUGAAAGCCCCCGGCUCAACUGGGGAGGGUCACGCGAUACUGAUCGACUCGAAGGCAGGAGAGGGUAGUGGAAUUCCUGGUGUAGCGGUGAAAUGCGCAGAUAUCAGGAGGAACACCGGUGGCGAAGGCGGGUCUCUGGGCCGAUACUGACGCUGAGGAGCGAAAGCGUGGGGAGCGAACAGG
rnacentral:rRNA from 1 species